GAUUCUGCCCUACGGGGAAGGAUGAGAAGCUUCGACUAAGGUUCGACUCGAGCGCCAGCGAGAGAACGUUGCCAAGGGCAACGGCCCGAAGGGCGAGGAGCGAUAGCGACGAGUUAUCCUUCCCCUACCACCA
rnacentral:sRNA from 1 species